AGGAAGUCACUUCUAUGGGAUGGAUGGACUUGCAGUCAUUUAAAGUAACAUCUGUGGUGUUCUUCACACGAACACAGUUCCUGAGCUCACCUGAGAUAUUAGAGGACUUUUCAGCCGGACACCCCACAGGCACAGUUUUAAUACCAAAGGUCUCAUUGGAGCAUGUGUACUCAUGACAGUCCAUGGUCCAUGUAUCGCCAGGCUGCAGGAGGAAAAACAAGUAGAUGAUGGUAAUCCAUCAGGGCCGAUGCAAUCUACAUGGAGGGAAUGAAAAAUAAAUCAGUGGAAAUAAGACGUGAAUGUGCAUUUAACAGAGAAAAUAAGGAACAACAAAUAAAGAAAGUCAAACACGUGUGGAACACUUAAGGGUAAGUAAAUG